CCAAUACUGACACUGAGGAGCGAAAGCGUGGGGAGCGAACAGGAUUAGAUAGCCUGGUAGUCCACGCCGUAAACGGUGGGCGCUAGUUGUGCGAACCUUCCACGGUUUGUGCGACGCAGCUAACGCAUUAAGCGCCCCGCCUGGGGAGUACGAUCGCAAGAUUAAAACUCAAAGGAAUUGACGGGGCCCCGCACAAGCAGCGGAGCAUGCGGCUUAAUUCGACGCAACGCGAAGAACCUUACCAAGGCUUGACAUAUACAGGAAUAUGGCAGAGAUGUCAUAGCCGCAAGGUCUGUAUACAGGUGGUGCAUGGUUGUCGUCAGCUCGUGUCGUGAGAUGUUGGGUUAAGUCCCGCAACGAGCGCAACCCUCGUUCUGUGUUGCCAGCAUUUAGUUGGGGACUCACAGGAGACUGCCGGGGUUAACUCGGAGGAAGGUGGGGAUGACGUCAAAUCAUCAUGCCCCUUAUGUCUUGGGCUGCACGCAUGCUACAAUGGCUGGUACAAACGGCUGCGAUACCGCAAGGUGGAGCGAAUCCGAUAAAGCCAGUCUCAGUUCGGAUUGGGGUCUGCAACUCGACCCCAUGAAGUCGGAGUUGCUAGUAAUCGUAGAUCAGCAACGCUACGGUGAAUACGUUCCCGGGGCUUGUACACACCGCCCGUCACAUCACGAAAGUCGUAACACCCAAAGUCAGUGGCCCAACCGCAAGGA
rnacentral:rRNA from 1 species